rnacentral:rRNA from 1 species
AGUAACACGUAGGUAACCUGCCCAUGUGUCCGGGAUAACUGCUGGAAACGGUAGCUAAAACCGGAUAGGUAUACAGAGCGCAUGCUCAGUAUAUUAAAGCGCCCUUCAAGGCGUGAACACGGAUGGACCUGCGGCGCAUUAGCUAGUUGGUGAGGUAACGGCCCACCAAGGCGAUGAUGCGUAGCCGGCCUGAGAGGGUAAACGGCCACAUUGGGACUGAGACACGGCCCAA